AUUGAACGCUGGCGGCAUGCUUUACACAUGCAAGUCGAACGGUAACAGGCCGCAAGGUGCUGACGAGUGGCGAACGGGUGAGUAAUGCAUCGGAACGUGCCCAGUCGUGGGGGAUAACUACUCGAAAGAGUAGCUAAUACCGCAUACGAUCUAUGGAUGAAAGCGGGGGACCGUAAGGCCUCGCGCGAUUGGAGCGGCCGAUGUCAGAUUAGGUAGUUGGUGGGGUAAAGGCUCACCAAGCCAACGAUCUGUAGCUGGUCUGAGAGGACAACCAGCCACACUGGGACUGAGACACGGCCCAGACUCCUACGGGAGGCAGCAGUGGGGAAUUUUGGACAAUGGGCGCAAGCCUGAUCCAGCAAUGCCGCGUGCAGGAAGGAGGCCUUCGGGUUGUAAACUGCUUUUGUACGGAACGAAACGGCUCUGGUUAAUACCCGGGGCUAAUGACGGUACCGUAAGAAUAAGCACCGGCUAACUACGU
rnacentral:rRNA from 1 species